rnacentral:lncRNA from 1 species
UAUUGAAAAACUAAUUUCAUACAUCAUAUAACUAAGUAAUAGUAUCCUUAAUUUACUCCAGGCUGCCAUAUCUACAGCUAGAUUUAUACAUAACAAGUAGAGCAUAUUACAUCAAAAUCAUUUGUUUCCAGCUAGAUUUAUACAUGACAAGCAGAGCAGAUUGCAUCAAAAUAUCUAUCUAUUUAAUAAGCAGGAUCCAGAAAAUGGCCACUGAGCAAAAAGAAGUUCUAAUACAAUGUACAAGAUGAUUAGUGAAGCUCACGGUGUCACCUUUGUCUUGGCCCUUUUCU